rnacentral:rRNA from 1 species
GAUGAACGCUGGCGGCGUGCCUAAUACAUGCAAGUCGAACGAACAGACGCGGAUCUUGCUCCGCUCACGUUAGCCGCGGGCGGGUGAAUAACACGUGGAUACCCUACCUAUCAGACUGGGAUCACUUCGGGAAACCGGAGCUAAUACCGGAUGAUAUAUUGAACCGCAUGGUUGAAUAGUAAAAGUCGGUUUUGCUGUCUCUUAUAGAUGGAUCCGCGCGGGAUUGGCUAGUUGGUAAGGUAACGGCUUACCAAGGGAACCAGGCGUAGCCGACCUGAGGGGGGGAUCGGCCACACUGGAACGGAGCCACGGUCCAGAGGACUACGGGAGGCAGCAGUAGGGAAUCUGCCGCAAUGGGCGGAAGCCUGACGGAGCAACGCCGCGUGAGUGAUGAAGGUCUUCGGAUCGUAAAACUCUGUUAUUAGGGAAGAACAAAUGUGGAAGGAACCAUGCACGUCGUGACGGUACCUAAUCAGAAAGCCACGGCUAACUACGUG